rnacentral:rRNA from 1 species
GAUGAACGCUGGCGGCGUGCUUAACACAUGCAAGUCGAACGAUGAAGCCCAGCUUGCUGGGUGGAUUAGUGGCGAACGGGUGAGUAACACGUGAGUAACCUGCCCUUAACUCUGGGAUAAGCCUGGGAAACUGGGUCUAAUACCGGAUAGGAGCGUCCACCGCAUGGUGGGUGUUGGAAAGAUUUAUCGGUUUUGGAUGGACUCGCGGCCUAUCAGCUUGUUGGUGAGGUAAUGGCUCACCAAGGCGACGACGGGUAGCCGGCCUGAGAGGGUGACCGGCCACACUGGGACUGAGACACGGCCCAGACUCCUACGGGAGGCAGCAGUGGGGAAUAUUGCACAAUGGGCGAAAGCCUGAUGCAGCGACGCCGCGUGAGGGAUGACGGCCUUCGGGUUGUAAACCUCUUUCAGUGGGGAAGAAGCGAAAGUGACGGUACCUGCAGAAGAAGCACCGGCUAACUACGUG